AACGAACGCUGGCGGCAUGCCUAACACAUGCAAGUCGAACGAGACCCCUGACUUCGGUUGGCGGGUCUAGUGGCGCACGGGUGCGUAACGCGUGGGAAUCUGCCCUUGGGUUCGGAAUAACUCAGAGAAAUUUGAGCUAAUACCGGAUGAUGACGAAAGUCCAAAGAUUUAUCGCCCAGGGAUGAGCCCGCGUAAGAUUAGCUUGUUGGUGGGGUAAUGGCCUACCAAGGCGACGAUCUUUAGCUGGUCUGGGAGGAUGAUCAGCCACACUGGGACUGAGACACGGCCCAGACUCCUACGGGAGGCAGCAGUGGGGAAUAUUGGACAAUGGGCGCAAGCCUGAUCCAGCAAUGCCGCGUGAGUGAUGAAGGCCUUAGGGUUGUAAAGCUCUUUUACCAGGGAUGAUAAAUGACAGUACCUGGAGAAUAAAGCUCCGGCUAACUCCGUG
rnacentral:rRNA from 1 species